rnacentral:lncRNA from 1 species
GGGAAGGAGGGCAAGCUAAAGGCAAAGCCCUUCCUGCUCUUGUUUUGGUUGCUUUUCUUUUAAAGCACAGUUGAACACACACACACACACACGCACACACGCACACACACACCCCUUAGAAUAAUGGGGGAGGCAUUUAGCGACAGGCUGCAUCCGCGAAGCCGCGCGGCGGCGACGAGCAGCCAGCCCCGCUCGCUAGCUCGCUCGCAGCUCAACUCAGUCUCCACGGCGGCGGCGGCGGCGGCGGCGGCGGCGGCGCGGACCGAAACUCGCCCCCGACCCGAGAUGCCCAACUCCACAGCGUGCCGAAGGUCGCCUCUCCAGUCUCGCUACAGCAAUUUCUGACUUCCUGACACAAGAAGGAGCUACAACUUGUAUUAUCCCUGCUCCUGGACUGGAAUCAGCCUCUCCUGAAAGAAGUUCUGGAUCCUUCUAUUGGAGAAUGAUACUUAGAAACCAAGACUGGAGCCUCAGAUGUGCCCAUUGUUACUGAACUGCCACUGCUUUUAGGCCAUUUUGGUAAGCCAAACUUGAGAG